CACCCUGUCUCUUCACACGGGCGCUAUUUAGUUCUUCAAUUCAGGUCGGCCAGCUCGCGCCGGCGGUGGGAUGUCUCUGCGCGCGCCAAAGGGGAGCGCCCCGUUCGAGGCGGCGGCGGCGGCGGCGGCGGCGGCAGCUGCUGGACAAGGGAGACUUUCCCACCACCGCCCUCCUUUCCGUUUCUUCUUCUUCUUCUUCUUCGGCCCGGCCCGACACAGACCCUGCCCCGGCCCCCCACGCACCCAACCCCUGGGAAUUCUGCAUCUUUGGUAUGCUUCUCACGCCGCGUCCAGCUCGCCGACGACGCCGGAGGGACUUCGCCUCAGCGGGAAACGAUGAAUUGGAAGAGGCAGACGAGUGACAAAGUUGGCUCAAGGCAGUUGGUCCAGCAUCUUCUGUGUCUGUUCACAAGGAGCCGAUGAGGCAUGUUAUCAGUCUAUCAAGAUGCAAUGCAAUGGCCUCUUCUGCCAUUACAUUCUUAGAAAAAGGCACAAAUUGCAGCAAUAUGAUGAACGUGCAGUGCAAGAGAAUCUUCAAGACAGCAUGAAGUUGAAACCAGGAAAAAUGGCAAAUAUGAAAUAAGGAAAAUGUGAGGUACGUCUCUACCUGCCACUAAAGACAUUUGCGGGUGGAGCCUGUGAAGUCUGUGGAAUUCUGCUUCUUGUGGUUGCUUCAGUGAACAUUCAACGCUGUCGGUGAGUUUGGGAUUAAAGUGAAAACCAUCGACCGUUGAUUGUACCCUCCAGCUAACCAUCCUCCUCUUUGCUUCAUGCGUGCAGACCUUUCGCUGAAGACAGCCACAAAACCAGCGCACAAGAUAUUUGGGUUUCUCGGUGGGGGAGGGGAAGAGAUGAGGGAGCCUAUCUUCCCUUGCAGGGUUUCACAAACACAAAAGGUCACAAUUAACAUUCAUUGCUGUCGGUGGGUUUAACUAUGUGGACAAGCUCACUGAACAAUGAAUGCAACUGUGGCCCCACUUUUUACAAUCGCAGUCAAGAGGAAUACUGGCUUUGAAAGCAGCACCCAAGGUGGAUCUCUUUGGCUGAAAACCUACACUUCUUAAAUCAAGAGGCUCAGAUAAUUUCAAAUUGCUUGCUUGUCUGUGUCGUGUGGGGCCAGGAAGACCUCCGAGGAUGUCACUUCAUUGAAUUUCAUGAUUAUGUCAAAUAAAAGCCUUUGCUUUUUA